CACGUAGGGUGCAAGCGUUGUCCGGAAUUAUUGGGCGUAAAGAGCUCGUAGGCGGUCUGUUACGUCCGCUGUGAAAACCCAGGGCUUAACCCUGGGCUUGCAGUGGAUACGGGUAGACUAGAGGCAGGUAGGGGAGAAUGGAAUUCCCGGUGUAGCGGUGAAAUGCGCAGAUAUCGGGAGGAACACCGGUGGCGAAGGCGGUUCUCUGGGACGGUACUGACGCUGAGACGCGAAAGCGUGGGGAGCGAACAGG
rnacentral:rRNA from 1 species